GUCAGAGUGUAACUUCCUGGUCACCUGAGGCAGAGAAAGCCUGGGGCCUGGGCCAGGGAGGGGUGGGGUCUUCUGAGGGGGCCUGAGCCCGAGAGGGGUGGAUUCUCCUGAGGGCCUGCUCUGUUGGCUGCUCCUGGUGACCUUGAAUCUACUUUCUGCUGCUGAGAAUUUACCUAUUUUGGAUGCUUCAUGAGACGAUUCCUCUUAGCAAAAGGGCACUGUGUACCCUCCAAGGCUGGAAAUGAUAGGUUUUCGGCGAGGAGUGAAAAUAUUGUGCUGACAGCCCUUUGCCUGUGUAGAGCAGGGUUGUUUACUCGCGCUGGAGCACAGCUUUAUUGAAGCAGAGAGUCAUGGUCCCAUCAUCAGGGUUGCCUAGCAACCAGUCUACGCCACUCCACAGAGUUUCAGAAUGGGCUGGACCACAAGUACCCACUUUGGGGGAUUUCCAGUGACAGUCCUACUCUCACUCCAUCACAUCGCUUCUAAAAUCUGAGUCACAUGGUUCAAAUUUCACAGUACAAAGUGUGUUCUUCAGAUCUGGGGUUCUCUCCAAAAUGGAUAAUCAUUAUUGAUUUUGUAAUGCAAUGCCAAGACCAUCAGUAAGCCUGGACCCACGCCUUCAUCAAUCUACUGUCAGGGAUAGAUUGUGCAUUUUCUGUGUCCCAGUGGGUGCCCCCCCCCCAAAAUAGAGCAGACAAAGCCUGGCCUGCGAGGGUACUGGUUUAGUUCAACAAAUAUCCAUAGAAUGCCCACUUAGGCAAAAUGGCAUAGGGCAGAUUGCCAAAAUCAGGGUUGACUCGGCCUGGAGCCAUGAAGUGGGUCCAACAGGUCUCUGAACUGAGGCAGGAGGCCCCAGGAUCCCGAGGUGUGCUGUAAAGCCUUUGAUGACAGCAUCUUGUGCCUAACACCUGACCACAUCUGAGCCACUAGAGACAGUACCUGAUAAGGAUGCAGAUGCCUGGGCCCUACCUUCCAAAGUUCUGGCUCAGUAGGUCUGGGGGAAGACCAGUAAUCUUCAUUUUAACAAAGACCACUGACGGUUCUGAUGCAGGUGGUCCAAGGACCACACCUGGAGAAACUUCCACCUCUAGGAGCAUCUGGGGUAAAAACUUCACCCAAACUUCCUAAGGUCACAACAUAUCCCCCCCAACAGAGGAAGCAGUAACUUUUGGCCACAGCCCCUAGAGAGGGGAUUUGCCUGGCGUUUCUAUACUGUCCUCUGUCCAAGGACAAAGUGUGCCUUACCCCACAACUGCUUUGUGGUUAAAAGCUUCUAUUGAGGGAUAGUUUAUUUACUUCUAGCACUAUGAAGCAAUAUAGUGAGGUUUUUGUUUCCUUUGAAUCCCAGUCAUUUUAUGCUGCAGAAAAUCUAGAGUUUUUGCCACAGUGGAGGACUCUGCUUAAGGACUACCUAUCUGGGUCUGGUAAUAGCUACCCCAACCCAACGGUCCUGAACGAGUAAUAUGGUUCGACUGUUUCCCUCCCCACCUCCAAAUCUCAUCUUGAAUUGUAGUUCCCAUAAUCCCCACGUGUUGUGGGAGGGACCUGGUGGGAGGUAAUUGAAUCAUGGGGGCGGUUAGCCUCAUGUUGUUCUCCUGAUAGUGAGUUCUCACAAGAUCUGAUGGUUUUAUAAGGGGUUUUUCCUCCUUUUGCUUGGCACUUCUUGCUGCCACCAUGUGAAGAAGGACAUAUUUGCUUCCCCUUAUGCCAUGACUGUAAGUUUCCUGAGGCCUCCUGAGCCAUGUGGAACUGUGAGUCAAUUAAACCUCUUUCCUUUAGAGAUUACCCAGUCUCAGAUAUGUCUUUAUUAGCAGAGUGAGAAUGGGCUAAUACAAUGAGAUAGAACUUAAAUCCCCUGCAUGCUCAUCAGAGGAGGCUCCAUAGAAGAUCAUGGACCUUGAACAAGGUGCAAGUAAGCCUAGAUGCAAUGCAAUGGAUUAGGGAUUCCAGGCUUGAAAACCAGUGGGAAGGAAGGGGUCAGGUGGGAGUGGUCCUCAGUUCCUGUGUGGGCUCUGGCAUCAGGCAGCACACAGGAGUCUUCCCUGCUGGUGGGGAGAGAAAGAGGCAGUAGAAGGGGUCCCGAGCUGGAAGGAUCAGCAGCCACUGCAGACUACUGAUGGAGGCAGUGCCAGGGAGGAAGAGGGUCGUGCCUAGUGGUGUCCAGGCAUUGGCAUGCAGGAGGCAGUCCAGGCACUGGUACCCGGGAGAGUUAAAACUGGGGGAAGGGAAGACAGCAGGGGAUUCUCACAAGGAAUGUGGAGCAGAGGCCCAGGCAGGGGGCCAUCAAGGUGGAGAGGACUGAACCUGGAAAUGGAAGCUUUCCAAGUCACACAUUGAAGAGUAUCAGCAAGGUCUUAAGCCCUGGAACAGUGAGGGAUGGCAUCAGGACAAACUGAGUGGGGAAGACCAAAGCUGAAGUCCAUCCCCCAGAGGAUGAGAGAAAGGAAGGCUGCAGCUCAGGCAGCUCAGGGAGUCUGAGGCAGCAAACGAGCUCUGGACCUUGAAGUGGGGAGAGGAAGUCCUUUCACCUCAUCACAGUGCUCACAUCACCUCAGAAACCAGGUGGGACACACAGCUGUGACAGGUGAGAGAUGAUUCCAUUGGUGCCUGGGAUACCAGAUUCAUGCUGGGAAGUAGGAUGGAUGUGGUGGUUUGCAAAAGGCUUUGUCUGCUAAAUUGAGGAUACUGGAUCAUACCCCAAGAGAAAGGGGAGCUCCAAUGGAAAAGCCACCUGCAUCAUGAUGCUGCCUGUCACUUGACUGAGCGUUCCUGCUGCCCAGAAGCUCCUGUUGUCCUCCCAACUGACGGGAUGCUCUUGGACAGUGAUGCCAGCUGGAAUUAAGACUGGGUUUCCAAGGCCACUGUGACCACCAUGAUUAAUGUGAGUAUCGCCAGGUCUUCUCCACACAGGCCCCCUCAGCAUGGUUGUCCCCAAAGCCCUGACCCCAGCUUUUCCUGGUUUUCUGCUUCCUUUAGCAAUCCCUACUGCUAGGGCUCCAACAUGCCUCAGCCAGAAAGCUGUCAUCUCUUUCCUGGGAACAUUCCUUAAGAAAGAACCAUCAUGGGGUUGGAUGAAACUAAACUUGCAAAGAAGGUGAUGUGUAACCAAGUUGGAGUGUGGAGUGUGGGGUCAAAGAUGAUGGCAUUCUGUGUGGAUCCGCAGUGGUAGGAAUGGAGGUGAGGAGGAAGAAAUGAAUCCAGGAGGCAGCGUGACAGAAAACACAGACUUUGGUGACGACAUGUGAGAAGCUGUAAACUGAUAAGAAGAAAAGACGUCUCCAGCACGUUUGGGUUAGUGUCAUCAACCCAUGGAUCCUGCCCACAGCAAGACUUGGCCCAGUCACAACCCCCUUUCUAGCAAUGUGGAGAUAAAUGUCUUCAACAGAAAGGGUUGGGAAUCCCAUGUGACAGCCGAGCUCUGUUCUGCCUUUGACAGAGUCUGAUGCGAAGUGGAUCAUCUCAGGGAUGUGCCUUGCUGGCUUCACCCACCUGGAGCCUCAGGGGAAGUCUCAGGUGGGAGAUGUUAAUUUGAGAGGCCUGGGUAUAAAAGUAAUCCCAAGAUGUCACAAGAUAGAAUACUUUCUCUGAGGCACAAACAGGGAGAAAAACAAGAACAGAACCCCUUAGCAGGACACUCAUAAUAAGAAGAAUUAGGAAAAGAAAAGGGAACCCGGGGUGACACAAAACUGGGGGAGUCUGUUACCACAAGGUAGAUGGCUACCUCCAGUUGGACAAAUUUCCAUGGACCACCAUGCAAUUUCUGGAGAUGCCGCCUUUGAUCCCCUCUUCUCCCUUUGCUCCUCCCUCAUCUCCACACUCAAAGUGCACAUUAUUCAGAUGUCCAGCACGCCCCUAAAUCAACUUGACUUCUCUUGUUCCUUGGCAGAUUCAAGGACCAGCCUUCAUUGGAUUUGGGGUGGAAGCUACAUGCUUGUGUCAAGGGUUGUAAUCCCAAGUCUGGUCCUGUUUUCUGCAAACAAUAUCAUUGUAAACACAUUGAAUGUGUCUGAAUGGGAUUCACAUAACCUAUUCAAAGGUUAAUAUCACAAGACUGAUACUGAGCUGGAAGCUCUGAAAUGUACUUGUGCUCAGGGAAGAUAUUUGCUAAUGUUUGGCUUUAAUUUCCCCUGGAACUUGUACACAUCAGUGAGGCCUGGGGAUAAUGAAUAACAGCAUGGACAAUAAAUUUUAAAACAAACAAAAUAAAAACUCAAAGAACAUUAAUGCAGACCAGUGCUGGGAUAUGAUGUGUGUUACAAGAGAGUAAUGAUUACUCUUGGUGAGCAGAUUCUAUUAUCUGCUUCUUAGGAGCAAUAGGUGGCUGCCUCUUGAUUGUAUUAGUCCUGGAGUUAUAAAAUCCUCAGUCCUUUACAAUGCAAAAGUGACACAUGGGGCGAGUAAGCAGGUAAGAGAAGGAGCAAUUGGAGGAAGAGAAAUGAGAUCUGUGGCAGGGGCUAUUGGCUUUCCACUAAAACCCAUUCUCUACUUCUUGCUGGGCAAGAACUAGGCAGUAUUUACCAGCCCCUCUUGCAUUUGGGGUGGCCACAAACGAAUUCUGGCCAGUGGAGUGAGGGGCUUCUCAGACAGCAGCCUGCCCCUUCCACACUCCUGUUCCCCUUGCAGUGGCUCAAAGCCCUUGGGUGAUGAUGGAGCCAUAGCUGGAAGAAGCCUGGGUCCCUGGGUCCCCCGUGGAGCCUCCACGCGGGAAGGUGGUCUAGAAAUACACUUCCAUAUUUCAGCCAGCAUGCCUUGGGAUCUUUUUUUAAUGGUGGUUCAGCCUACCCUAACUAAAGCUGGGCCCACUCAGCACGCCCCACACAGGGAUUCUGAAAUGGGAGCAGGGUCCACCAAAACUCUGCUUUUCAGAGAGCUCACACCCUAGGGGAGUAUAAAAGUGACGAGGACACUGGAGCUGGCAGGCAAGACCCAGGAUGCCAAAAUUAGGGCCCCUAAACACAGCAGGGAGGGUGAGCUAUCCUCUUGUGAGGUGGGAGGAGGGUCUCCGUGAGCAGGGCUCUUCUUGGGCCAAACCUGGAUCAUGAGGAGGAGGGAGAGAUGCUGAAUAUGACAUGUCAUUCAAAGUGCUGUCUGGAAAUUUGAGUUCGUUUCUUCAGUAGAGGCAGCACAGGUUAAUCAGACAAACCAGCCAUCAACAGGCUUCCUUUGAGGAGCUUGGUAAGAAUGGAAAACCCAGGGCUGAGGGGCUUACAGAGCUUACAGAGCAGCACAGUAUCAGGGGCCCAAGGCACCAGGAGCUCCUCUGGAAAUUGGCGGGAACAGCUGGAGCAAAGCCGAGGUGAUGGUACCCCUGGUGGCGGGACGGCAGCGACCCUCCAUGGUAUAAGGAGUGGUGAGACCCCAAGGGACAGUGUGCAAGGACUCUGAUGGCAGCAACACUCCUCUAGGAGCUGAUGAGAAAGGCCUGGAAUCCCAAGAUGCACCCCUGAGGUUCAACUCCUACCCUGAUCAUCUCCUCCAAGAUUCUGUGACCUGGGGAAGUCAACAGUACAUUUCAACACCUAUGAUGUCAGCAUGUGAAUGACAUUCCAAUGCUGCUCAUGGGGUCACCCCUGCAAAGGUGAACUCAGUGGAAAGACCUUGCCAAACCGGAAGGAAAACAGGAUACUUUUCUCCAAAAUACUCAUUCAAUAAAUAUUUGCUUAGGCAUUACAAAGACAAAUAAGACUUGCCCCUACCUGUUAGAGGUAUGUAUGUCGAGAAAAGGAAGGAGUGAUUCAAUAAGAGAAACAGCAUUCAGGGAAGAGAAAGAAGGAAGACAUAAAAAUUCAGGUCAUAUUAGAAUAAUAUAUAUAACAAUGAGUUUGGCUAUAUUUCAGAAUUUUCCCAAAAUAUUUCUUUCAAAUUUGAUUGACAUUCUAAACUAUUUAGCUUGAUAUAAAUGAGAUCUUUGUGUACCCUCAGCAGGAACUGCAUUUUAGCUGGUUUUAAAUCUCAACAAUCACUUUCCUGCCUUGGAGAAGGUAUGAACCAGGCUGUUUAUGUAGAAUCCAGGUGGGUUUGAGAGCAGCUUCAGCUGAAUGGAGAGUGACAGGGAGGCUGAGGAAGGGAGGGAGGGGACCCAUGGGCUGUCAUACCCGGGGACUUAGGAAGGCUCUUGCUCUUGCUGGAAGGGUUGCAAAUCCCUAAACCAAGUAAUCCCAUCCCUAAACCAAGUAAUCCCAUUAAAACAUGAAACAUCCAGAGUAAAAUUAAGUUUAGAAUACUAUUUGCAAAGCCAAACAUAGUCUUACCAUAGGAUCCAGGCAUCACACUCCUUGGUAUUUACCCAAAUGGGUUGGAAACUUCCAUAUAAAAAUCUGCACACAGGCCGGGUACGGUGGCUCACGCCUGUAAUCUCAGCACUUUGGGAGGCUGAGGCGGAUGGAUCACCUGAGGUCGGGAGUUCAAGACCAGCCUGACCAACAUGGAGAAACCCUAUCUCUGCUAAAAAUACAAAAUUAGCCAGGCGUGGUGGCACAUGCCUGUAAUACCAGCUACUCAAGGGGCUGAUGCAGGAGAAUUGCUUGAACCCAGGAGGCAGAGGUUGCGGUGAGCCGAGAUUGUGCCAUUGCACUCCAGCCUGGGCAACAAGAGUGAAACUCUGUCUCAUAAAAUAAAUAAAUAAAUAAAUAUAAACCUACACACAGGCCAGGCAGGGUGGCUCACCCUGUAAUCUCAGCACUUUGGGAGGCCGAGGCGGGUGGGGUGGAUCACGAGGUCAGGAGAUCAAGACCAACUUGGCCAAGACGGUGAAACCUCAUCUCUACUAAUAAUACAAAAAUUAGCUGGGCAUGGUGGCACAUGCCUGUAAUCCCAGCUACUCAGGAGGCUGAGACAGGAGAACCGCUUGAACCAGGGAGUCGGAAGUUGUGGUGAGCCGAGAUCACACCACUGCACUCCAGCCUGGUGACAGAGUGAGACUCUGUCUAAAAAAAAAACCUGCACACAAAUAUUCAUGGUAGCUUUAUUCAUACUUGCCAAAACCUGGAAGCAACCAAGAUGUCCUUCAAUAGGUGAAUGGGUAAAUAAACUGUGGUACAUCCAGACAAUGCAAUAUUAUUUGGUGAUUAAAAAAAAAGAAAUGAGUUAAAAUCUUGGAUUUCUUUUUUUUAAAUGAGUUAUAAAGCCACAGAAAGACCUUAAAUACAUAUUGUUAAGUGAAAGAAGCCAGCCUGCAAAGCUACAUCUAUACAUGACUGUAUGACAUUCUAGAAAAGGCAAAACUAUAGAGACAGUGAAAACAUCAGGGAUUGCCAGGGGUUAAGAGGGAAGGAAGGAUGAAAAGGCAGAGGACAGAGGAUUUUAAGGCCGGUGAAACAAUUCUAUAUCAUACCAGAAUGGUGGAUAUAUGGGCUGGGGCUCAGAAAACAAUACCCCCAAAUGAAUGCCUCAGAAGCAAAAGUUUCUCCUGCCCUCCCAUCCCUGACCUCAUUCUCCCCCAAGGUUAGCCAUAGAAACCAGAAGUCCUCUUUCCCAAGGUGGGUCAUAGAAACUUCCAAACCCCUUUUCCCCAAAGCCAGUCAUAAAACCUAAAAAUAUGACUCUAACUUCCACCCCCACCCCACCACCUUUCUGUGUAAAAAUGUGUCAUAAGGAAAUCAUCUAACCUGCCUUGUUUGGUUGUCGGUCGUAAGACCCCCAUUCGAGAGAGGGCCCUGCCCCGUACCCAGCAGGAAGCAAUGCUGCCCAGAGAGGCCACGAGGAAUCUAGACAGGGCUUGCUGGGGGGCCCCACUCACUCUAUGAGCAUUAGCUCAUUCCCUUUUUUGUCCAAUCACAUUUCUAAAUAUUUUGUUGCACCUAAGCUUAAAAGUGGGCAGAGUCCCCUGCAUCUCUGGGUCUUCGUUCUGAAGGCUCCCCUGUCAUGUAACACUAUGACCAAAUAGAUGUGUGUGCCUUUUCUCCUAUUCAUCUGCCUUUUGUCUGUUAAUUUUCAGUGAAACUUCAGAGGGUGAAGGGGAAGUUUUCCUUGGCCCCUACACGUGUCAUUACAAACCCAUAGAAUGUACAAUGCCAAGAGUGGACCUUAGUGCAAGCCAGGGACAUUAGUCAGUAAUAAUGUUCCACGCUGACGCACAAAUGAAAGUUAUUUUAUUUGUGUGAACAGGAGAGCUGACAUGGUCUGUAUUGAUAUCUCCUGGGCAGGGAGGUGGUGAGCACGGCCCCAGAAUUCUGAACUGCCAGGAGCCAGGCAGCUUUGCAUCCUGGAGCUUGGCCAAUUCAGCCGCCCAAGUUCUGGCCAUGGGUCUGCAGCCCCCUGGCCCUUGCCUGCAUAAGCAGGAGAUGAAUGAGAGGAAGCAGAACUCACACAGGAGGCAGGAGGAAGCCACCAGGAAGCUCACUGGCUCCAGGGGCAGCAGAUCUGGGAUGGGGUCCCAGUUCUCUCCUUCCUCAUUCAUGAAAUGGGGCAAUAACAGUACUUACUUCAUUGGAGGUUCUUGGAGGGAAUAAAAGAGAUAUUAGUUAAAGGCAUGGAGCACAGUCCCUGGCACACUGAAAAAGUUUCAUAAAUGUUACCAAUUAAUUGUUUGUAUUAUAUAAUGUCUUCCUGAUAGGUUUUUGGGAAGGAAUAAAUCAAAGGUGAGAAAAUAUAUACAAAAACCUGACUGAGCGAGAACAUAGCUUACACACAAGAAGUGGCAGCUUGGUGAGCACACUGCUAUGUCAUGUUGUGCCUAGUCAUGACAUAGCCAAGGACUGAUACAGGCGCUCCCAUAACCCAUGGAUGGAUUCCUGCUGGACUCUAUUCAUGAAGGUUCUGAUUCUAAUUUUUUUAAAUCCAUGGAUAAAACAGCUACCAGAAAAUCCCAUUUGGGUUUGCAUGUUGUUCUUUGGCUUCGGUGGACAGCAAUCAUAUCAGUUGCAUUUCCCGAGCUAGAGCUCUGAGGCUUAGUCAUCCCCCUCCCUGGCUGGCUUCCAUGCUGUCUGCAGUGGGAGCAUCUUUUAUGAGAUGACAGGAGGGGACUUCAUGGAUGUGCAGCCUGGGCUGCUGGUACUGCCGGGGCUGCUGGUACUGCUGGGACUGCAGGAGAGGGAUGGUUUCUAUUAAUCCUCACAAUGGGAGGGUCCAGUGGGCUGUCACAGCACAGGCAGGGAAUCACAGGCCUCCCUGGGUGACCAGCUGUCCUGGCUGCUACCAGAUUCGGACUCCAGCAGGCUUUCCCUGGGGGCAGAGAUGACCUUGAUCUCUGGGCAGCUAGGCUUCAUGUCCUUGAUAUUUGUGGCCCUGCAUUGUUGGGGCACAGGAUGCAGAGCUGGGGAUGACUGAGCUUAAACUCCUGCUGCUAUGGAGGGCUGCCUCCUUGCCCUGAAUGCCCUGGGAGCCCUUUUAAAAACACAGGUCCAAGGAGUGAUAACAUGAGGGGCAGCACCUCUGGCCCCUGAGAGAGAAACUUGUCCAGUGAUAUGUGCACAAGCAACAUCUCCAGGCAUUCCUUCCAGACAAGGCAAGAGGCCCCCCAGGUGUGAUAUGUUAGCUACACAUGGGCUUGGUCUGUACUGCAAAUGUGUACUCAGUGAUGGGGCCAUUAGAUAUUUGGUUUCUACAUUGCUGCGAUGAAAAUUUACAAAGAACGUUCAUGGGGAAACCAGCUCCCAUCCAUGGGCAGCAGAGGAAUGUUGUCCAAGACUUACAUGGACAGGUAAGACUAAGGUCUCAUCCCAUACUCAGCAGUUCUGUGACCUUUUACAGAACAUAGGGAGGCAAGAAGGGAAAUGAGCCUUAGUUAGCCUCAGGGAGAACCAAGCCAGGUCUGUUUAGGGUCACCACCUUCACUGAACUGCCCUCCACUGGAGGCUAGGAACUGCAGGACAUGAGUUCAACAUCAAAAUAGUAAAAAUAGUGGCAAAUGUUUAGCAGUGUUUGCAACAUAUCAGGUGUCACAGCAACCUCUGCAGGAGAGGUGAGCAGGGCUAAUAUUUAGCAGGUGCACCCUUGUACUGGCUGCCUGCCAUUUAAUAGGUUAGUGCCUCAGCUGGUUAUUGAAUAUUUUCAACAUCGGCCCUGGGUACUAAGAUUAGUUCCCAUUUUACUGAUUAGGAAAUCGAGGUUAAGAGAGGGUAGGCGAUUUGCCUGAGAUCACACAGCCUCGUGUGUGGCAGAGCCUUAGAUUCCAAGCCAGGCUGUCCGAUGCCAGACCUUCACAGCUAUCCUAUGCUUCCACGGCACCCCGGACUUCCCCUUGGAGCACUUGCCAGUGAAACAAACAUGCCCUGGAGAAAUGCCUGGGAGUCCCACAGUGGGUAGGAGCACCAGCUGUUCAACAAGAGAAGACCAUUAGGCUUCAGGAGGGAGAGGAAGUUUUUUUGGGAAUGAGAGGACCAAGAGAAAUGAGGCACAGGGGAGAUCGGCCCCAAGGCUUGUCCUGAAAAAAGAACAUCAUCUUCUUCUAAGGUCCCGAGCGUGGGAUUUAUCUGACACAUUCUUCCACAUGCUUAUUGCAGGAGGAGCGUUGUGUUAAGUGCUUUGCAUGCAUUAAUUAUCUCAUUUAAACCAAAACCAACCCAGUGUGGCUGAGUGACUAUAUGAUGUCCAUUUUACAGAUGAGGAAAGGGAGGCUGAGAGAGCUUAAAGGACACACCACUUUUGAGUGGCAGAGCUAGGAUGCAAACCAGACCUGACUGCUGUUAAAGCUUGUGAUGUUUGUAGUCAUUCUUCUAUACUGUACCCUCAUAGGAAGUUCAAAAACAGAGAGGGUGGGAUUUGGUCUUUGGCUUUUGUUUAAAUGUAUGUUUUUAUAGAUAUAUUUCCUUAGCCCAUGCUAUGAACCAGGAGUUUCCAUUUGUUUAUUUAACUGAUUUAUUAAGCCUUUUUAGGGGCCAGCCCAGGUUCUGGGCACAAGCUGGAGAAGGAGAGCUGCUGCGGUCCCUAACUCAUGCCUCUUGCGGCAGUGGGUGGGUGUGAAGAGGGAGGAGGGGAGGAGGUGGUGAGAAGUCUGCUUCACAUUAUUCAGAGUUUCCUGUGAGCCAGGCACUGUGCCUGGGGCUAAGUGAUUAUAUCAUUUAGCCCUCCCAAUAGACUCUCAGGUAGACGCUCUCUUAUUUCCACUUUUUCCCAUUUACAGAUGGGGAAAUGAAGACUUAAGAAACUUAGGUAAUCUGCCCAAAGGCUUAUAGCCAAUACAUGGUAAAGCUGAGAUGUGAACUCAAGUAUCUGACUCCAAAGCCUGGGUUUUUUCUCUUUCUCUCUCUCUUUUUUUUUUUUUUUUGAGACAGGGUCUCACUCCUUCACCCAGUCUGGAGUGCAGUGACAUGGUCAUAACUCACUGUAACCUCAAACUCCUGGGCUCAAGUGAUCCUCCUUUCUCAGCCUCCUGAGUAGCUGGGACUACAGGCACACACUUUUAUGCCUGGAUAAUUUUUGUACUUUUUUUGUAGACAGGGUCUUACUGUGUUGCCCAGGCUGGUCUGGAACUCCUAGGCUAAAAUGAUCCUCCUGCCUCAGCCUCCCAAAUUGCUGGGAUUACAGGUGUGAGCCACUGUGCCCGGUCAAAGCCUGUGCUUUGAUUUGCCACCUAAUCCUCCUCCGUUUUAUAUGUAAUGUUAACCCCAAACCUGCAGGGUAGCCGUUAUCAGCCUCAUUUAACUGACAGGGAAGCCCAGUCUCAGAGGGGCCAGAUGCGUGCCCAAGGCCUUGCUGGGAAGAAUGGGAUUCUGGGCCCAGGCAUUCCAGCGCCAAGUCCAGGGCGUGAUUGUUACUCUGCAGUCCCUCUCUGUGACAAGAGCCUCACCGGGAACUCGGGGGUGGGGGCUCCCCCAAGCCUCCUGGCUGGACCCCAUUCCAAGCGUUAGUGUAACAGAUGUUGUGUGGCGGGAGUCUGUUGUGCUCCUGGUGUGUGGCUGGGAUUCAGAGGUGUCUUCAAGCGCUCUAGGAAGCCGGCGGGCGGGGCCAUGGCCGCAGAAGUGAGUGCAGGGAUGGAGAAUACAGGGAGUCCCUUGACCGGAGGAGACUUUGGAGGCAUUUGUGCUGUUCGCGUGAACUCCGCGUCCAUGGCCUACCCUGUGAUUGUCAUCAUUUCUAUGUGAGAAAAAAGCGGCUACUGAUUCACAGCGAAAGGAAACGGACUAGGUUCUGAAACUUCCUGUUUGUCUGGUAUCUGCAAAGAUAUGUGUGUUAUGCAAAUACCCUGACUCCCCAGAACUGCAGGUGUGUACAAACACACACACGCACGCACACACACACACACACACACACACACACACACACCCUCUGCUUGGCCCCAUGCAGUGGGUCUCCUCUGUACCCAGUAAACUGAAACAUGACUCUACUAACAUGGUAGCCAGGACACUGGGGACUCUGCUGUCGGAAUCCCUGAUCAUAGAGACAGCAGCUUUGGCCUUCGGCUCAAAGAGCUUCACAGAUGUCCCUUGUAGGCGAGUCCUGGCUCUGGCUCCUGGCCCACUGCAGAGCCUGGGAGUGAGGCAGGCAGAUAGGCGAGGGGGUCUCACCCAGGCCCAGGAACUCCAUUUUCUCUCAGCCCCAUUCCUCCCUCCCUCGGCUCCCUGACCGUGCUGAACGCAGCUCCCAAGCAGGGGGAGAGUCCAGAUAAUGGCAGAUGUUGAUUGUUUCCUGUUGGUUCACUGUGUCCUUUUGGCAGGCCUUUCUUUCUUUCAAAAUAUAUUCAGGUUUGAGCCUAGCACUGCAGCUUGCUGAGUGGGUCUAUGCUUCCAUAGAGCAGUGGCUUCGGGCACAGGCCUGAGACCCAGCCUGCCUGCGGGCUGCUAGCUGCCAGCUACCUCUGCACUAGGAAGGUUUUUAAACAGCUGAAUGCAAGCUUCAGCGUUAAUAGGUGAAAGUGAAAAUGACAUGUGACUUCUAGACAAUUCUCAUAGAUUCAAAAUAAUUGUUCUCUGUAAUGAGUAAAAUAACACUCUUGCAACAGCUGAAUGCUUUUCUCAUAUUCUGAGUUGCCCGAAUUAGGGGAAAUGGGUCUAAAUGGCUGCAAGAGGCAGUUUUGUCAGCUAGACGUCUUUUUACAAGUAUAUUGCAUCCUUCAGUCUCUUCCUGCCCCACCCUAAGACCCUCACCUGGGAAAUGGGAGGAUGGCUUGGAAGGCAAUUGUCAGGCCUCUGAGCCCAAGCUAAGCCAUCAUAUCCCCUGUGACCUGUACAUACACAUCCAGAUGGCCCGGUUCCUGCCUUAACUGAUGACAUUCCACCACAAAAGAAGUGAAAAUGGCCUGUUCCUGCCUUAACUGAUGACAUUACCUUGUGAAAUUCCUUCUCCUGGCUCAUCCUGGCUCAAAAGCUCCCCCGCUGAGCACCUUGUGACCCCCACCCCUGCCCGCCAGAAAACAACCCCUUUGACUGUAAUUUUCCUUUACCUACCCAAAUCCUAUAAAACAGCCCCACCCCUAUCUCCCUUCGCUGACUCUCUUUUCGGACUCAGCCCGCCUGCACCCAAGUGAAAUAAACAGCCUUGUUGCUCACACAAAGCCUGUUUGGUGGUCUCUUCACACGGACGUGCGUGAAAGCGAUGAAGCUGAGGUUGCAGGAAAGGAGUGAUCACCUGGCUCAGAGCUGGGCCCUAAAAGUCUAGGCCAGAGCCUCCCUGUUGUGAAAGGGAGUGGAAGGAGAAGGGGCUGGGAUGGGUCAAACUGGGUGGAAAGCUAGGCUCUGCUGUUUAGAAGCUGUAUGAUCUUGAGCAAGUUGCUUAACCCUUGCUAAGCCUCAGUUUCCCUUCCUGCAGAAAGGGAUUAUCAUGGGGACGAAAGGGGAUCCAGAACCUGGAGUGGAGGAUAGGGUGGGUAAGUGGAAGGUGUCAUGAGGACAACAUAUGCUGAGACACUCACCACCCUUUCUGAGGGCGCCUCAGCAGCAGGUCACAUGGUGCCUGAAACUCGUUUUUCUGAGUUGUGCUGGUUUGUGGAAUGAAAAGGGAAGCCAGGCUUCCUUCUUACUAGCUCUGACUGCCUUGUUUUAAGGAUCAUUCACCUUCCCUAAGGAUGGGAUAAAGCCUUCCUGUAGAGCAGACCGAUCUCCUUCUUUAUCCCUACAGUUCUCCCACCGUGGCCAUGGCCUUGGGGGCUGUUCUGACUCUUACAUUUAUAUAUCACUCCUACUUUCCCAGCCAGCAGGAUAGAAAACCUGAGAAGGGAAUUCUGCCUUAUAAACAUUUCUUACAGAUGGGGCAGACAGGUUGUUUCUUUUUUACCAAGGAAGCUCAGGGCAAUUCUGGUUGCAGGAAUGUUAAGCACUGAUAAAGAAGAGAAGAAAAAAUAUUCACCCUCCAGGGCCUGGAAUUUCCCCAUUCCUGAGCCCUGGCUUCCCUGUCUGAGAUAGAGACUGUCAGUCAGUCACCUACCAAUUCCCAAUUUCUCUUUCUGCUUUACUAAAAGUACUUGAUUUGGGAUGGGGGUGGGGGGUGGCAGGCAGCAAUACAUCCAAGUAAAAGACUGUACUUCCCAAAUCUCUUGAAACUAGGGACAGCCAAUGAGGUAUAAAUGAAAAUUAUUGGGGCUGGGGUCCCAAAAGCUUCUCUCUCUUUUUUGAGACAGAGUCUCAGUUUGUCAUCUAGGCUGGAGUGCAGCAGCAGGAUCACAGCUGUAAAAUCAAAAGUGUCAAAGACAGGUCUCAAUCAAUUUAGAAAGUUCAUUUUGCCAAAGUUAAGAGCACACCUUUAACCUCAGGUGAUCCUGACAGCAUGUACCCAAGGUGGUUGGUGCCCAACUUGGUUUUAUACAUUUUAGGGAGCAUAAGGCAUCAAUCAAUAUGUGUAAGAUGUACAUUGGUUUGGUCUGGAAAGGUGGGACAACUGAAAGGUGGGACUUCCAAGUCAUAGGUGGAUUCAAAGAUUUUCUGAUUGGCAAUUGGUUGAAAGAGUUAUUAUCGAUAGAAAAGAAUGUCUGGGUUAUGAUGAGGGGUUUUGAAGGGAGGAGGGUAGAAUGAGGCAUGUCUGACUCCCCCUUCCCAUCAUGGCCUGAACUAGUUUUUCAGGUUAACUUUGGAAUGCCCUUGGCUAAGAGGAAGGGUCCAUUCAGAUGGUUGGCGGGGGGGCCUUAGAAUUUUAUUGUUGGUUUACGUGGCUCAGUGCAGCCUUCACCUCCUGGGCUCAAGUGAUCCUUCCAUCUCAGCCUCUUGAGUAGCUGUGGCCACAGGUGCAUGCCACCAUGCCUGGCUAACUUUUUUUUUUGGUAGAUAUGGGGUCUUGCCAUGUUGCCCAGGCUGGUUUUGAAUUCCUAAGCUCAAGUUAUCCUCCUGUUACAGGAAAGGGGUCCUGAUCCAGAUCCCAAGAGAGAGUUCUUGGAUCUCACACAAGAAAGAAUUCGAGGUGAAUCCAUAGAGUAAAGUGAAAGCAAGUUUAUUAGGAAAGUAAAGAAAUAAAAGAAUGGCUACUCCAUAGGCACAGCAGCUUCCAGGGCUGCUGGCUGCCCAUUUUUAUGGUUAUUUCUUGAUUAUAUGCUAAUUAUUUAGUGUUUGCAAAAAUAGCCAGGCUAUAAGGGGUGGAUUAUUCAUGAGUUUUGUGGAAAAGGGGUGGGCAAUUCCCAGAGCUGAGGGUUCCUCCCAUUUUUAGACCAUAUAGGGUAACUGCCAGAUCUUACCAUGGCAUCUGUAAACUGCCAUGGUGCUGAUGAGAGUGUCUUUUAGCAUGCUAAGGCAUUAUAAUUAGCAUAUAAUGAGCAGUGAGGACAAUCAGAGAUCACUCUUAUCACUAUCUUGCUUUUGGGGGGUUUUAACCAGCUUCUUUACAGCAGCCUGUUUUAUCAGCAAGGUCUUUGUGACCUGUUUCUUGUGCUGACCUCCUAUGUCAUCCUGUGACUUAGAAUGCCUACCCUUCUAGGAAUGCAGCCUAGUAGUUCUCAGUCUUAUUUUACCCAGCCCCUACUCAAGAUGGAGUCCCUCUGGUUCAAAUGCCUCUGACACUCCCACCUCAGCCUCCCAUAGUGCUGGAAUUACAGGCUUGAGCCACUGCACCUGGCCUUAAAAGCUUCUUAAAGGGAUCUAAGAAAUUGACUCUCCCCACCCUCUUUCUUAACCGUAAAACACUAAUGUAAUGGCUGGAGUUCUAGCAACCAUAUUGGGCCAUGAGGCAACCUUGAAAAAGGAAGCCACAAACUAAAACAUUGACUCUCAACCUUUAAUGCUGAAAAAAGAAAAAGUAUCCCCUGACAUCCGGGAAAUGGCCUGACACUUUGAGCUAGGGCUUAAUCUUAUUAAAAGCUUGCCUGGCUAUUUUUGCAAACACUGAUGUCAGUCGCCAGUCUGCAACUGUGAUGAAGAGGUCAAAAGAGACCCCUUCCUAACUCUGUCUAAGCACAAACAACUCCACAAAACACUAGACACACCCCCUUCUGGCUCAUUAAGUGACAGGGGCCUCCUUAUCAACUAUAACUAUAGCCUUGAUCUUGUCUUCUGUCCUUAUAGAUAAGAUUUACUAACAUACCCAGCUGCAGAAUUGUCCCAUUUCCAGACAGCAGACAAUGCAGAGCAAGCCCUUCCCUCCUAGACCCUCCCCAAAUUCACCUAACCAAAGCCCAAAGCCUAAAAGUCCCUUUGAACACCUUUUUAGUGAAAUGGUGCCCCCAUGAUAUCUUCCUCAUUGCAACCAGUAAUAAAGCCAACUUGUUCAAAUGCCGGUUUGCAAAUAAAUCACUUGGGGAUUUGUUAAAAUGCAGACUGUGGUUCAGUAGGUCUGAAGUAGAGCUUAUUCUGUGUUUGCCACAAGCACCCAGUGAGGCACUUGCUGCUGGACCAUGGUCCCACUUUGGGUAGCAAGGCAGUUAAGGGUGGCAGAUUAGAACACUGGACAUGCUUAACCUUGACCAUGGGACCACUGUAUGCAUCCUGUUGUUUCUCAGUGAAAAUAUGCCUGUAUUUCAUGUAAGCCCCCGCUAUAUAUGUUGGCUACUAGCAACUUAACCAACACGUUGUCCUUGUCCUUAGAAAAUGUGUGGUUACAGCCAGGUGUGAGCAGGCCUAGACCAGGCUUGGGGAUUUAUUGACCAAAUGUGGUGCCUUUGAGGUGAAACCACAAGUAAUCAGAGAAGCUGAGUCACUCCACUUAGUGGACUGGUGGAAAAUUCUCAAAUGGUCUUAAGCUGGCCCCAUGUUGGGCUGAGGACUAGAGAUCUCAGAGGCUCCACCUGCCCAUCCAAUUGCAGGUGUCUGGGCCUGGCCCCACCUUGCCUUCCUGCUCCAUUGCUCACCAUUCCACACCCAAAGGCACCAUGAUGUUUUGUACCUCCUUGCCUUUGCUCUUCCCUUUGCCAGGGAUGCCCUUCCCACCUUCCUCCACGUGGCUAACCCUCCCUCAGCUCUGCUUCCAGGGUGUCUCCCCUGGUCGCCAAGGGCUGGCUAGUGCCUCUUCUUUGCUCCCAGGGCACCCUGUGCCUUUCUGUGCCCCAACUAUUUCCCAGUUUGUAGCAGUUAUUUAUUUUGUGGUCAUCUUCCCACUGGUCGUCAGCUCCUAGAGGGCAGGGAUCAUGUUUUGGGUUAUUCAUCACUGCAUCCCCUGACAUAGUCCCCAAACCUCGAGAACUAUGAAACUGCACCAAAGGUUCCAGCUCCCCCACAGCCUGCCCUUAACCUUGAGCCAUUUGAAGGGAGAGUAUGAGACAAUAGUGAAAGAAACCCUUCUCUAAUGUUUUCCCCAUUUAGGUUAUGUGAAGUUGGCAGUUCCCAAGGGCUUUAGGCUUGAAGCUGUGGGUCAUACCCCUUCGGAAACUUGGUCCCCAAGAGAAAUGUAUGCUUCUGAAAACCACAGGUGCAUGAAUCGUGUUUAGUAAAUGACUACUAAACUGAAAUCAGGACUUGUCUAUAUCUUGGCUUCUCAAACUUGAAUAUGCUUAUCAUCUGGAUAGCAAAAGCAUUCCUACACGUUGAGGCCUGCCAGCGUGGGUGUCACCCAGGAGCCACUCGGAAAGGCUCAUCGGAAACCACCCCGGACUGACUGAGGCAGAAUCUCUGGGGGCAGGACCCAGGCCUCAGCAUAAAAACUCCAGGUGACGGAAGAGCUCCCACCUAACAGAAAGAAAAUAAAAGAGACUGAGAAACCACAGAAAUAAAGAAGCGCUGAUGACAAUGCCUGCUUGCUGAUGGUUACGAUGAUCAUAGCAGUGUGCAUUUUGUAUGCAUGAAGCCUGCGACUAAAUAAACGUGUGGGGAAAUAUUUGUAAGGAAAUAAGCUAUUAAUAAAAUAAGCUAAAAUCACAGUUGCUGGACUAUGACUGAUUUUUCCCCUUUCUCUCAUUUAAAAUUAAAUAUUUGUAUGACUUGUAUAAUAGAAAAAUACAUGUAUUCAAUCUUAAAAAGAUAUUCUUAUUUUACACUUUACGGGACAAAAGAGGUUGUAGGUUGGAAUGGUUCAGUCCCCUUGUGACAACUCAAAAACAGAGACCUUAAGCCUUUCUCAACCAAUGUUGCGGGACAAGCAGGCGUGUGAGGCGACAAUGCCAUUAGGGUAUUUUUUGGAAAAAUUUUAGUGUGAGAGACAAAAGCCAAAUUCAAACUGGCCUGAGCCAAAAUAGGUAGGAAAGGGAGAAGCGGAGACAGGGAGGAAGAAAGAGAGAGAACAGAAAGAAAAAGGGAGAAAUGUCGAAAGGCAAAAUUACAACACAUUUAGUUAAAUGAUUGAAUUGGUUUUUAUUUGUAAUUCAUGAAUUGGGGCAGCAUCUCCUCUAAAACUUUAGGAAAAGUGCUCUGAUGAGCUAAACAGAGAAGCUUGGCUUUAUAGGCAGAAAAGGGUGAAGAAAGCAGACACAGGGAACAAAAAGCAGAUUGGUAAGCUCAGGUUACUUCAGGUUACUUUCCUUAUAAAGGUUAAAGUAGAGGGGACUUCCUUAUCAUGCUGGCUACAACUGGCCUGUUUGGGGAUUUGCAUAUUAUCUCUCUCUGUCUUGAGUUCUGGGAAGGUCUGAUGACUUAGUUUCAGUUUGGUGAUAUGGAACUUAGCAUGAGUGACUCCAUCUUGGUUUGGUCUACUGGGGCCUCCUGCAGGAGCUCAGCCCAAAUCAGUGACCUCCUAUAAAUUUCAUUUAAUAGAAAAGGAAGGAAGGAAGGAAGGAAGGAAGGAAGGAAGGAAGGAAGGAAGGAAGGGAGGGAGGGAGGGAGGGAGGGAGGGAGGAAGGGAGGAAAGAAGGAAGGAAAGAAAGAAAGUUGCUUAUAAGUUGCUUAUAACUAAAAAGACCAGCUGGACCCAGGAGCUCUGAGGUUGCUUUCAGGCCUCUGUCCAUCUCUUAGUUUUCCAUCCUCAGACAGGCUCUGCCCUGCCUUACAGUCUAGCAUUGUUGGCCAAAGGUGACUGACUGGCCCAGCUUGGGCUAUAUGUCCUUCCCUGUGGCCAGAGAGAUGUGUCUCUGUGAUGGCCAGGCUUGGGUCACGUACUCCCUCCCCUACCAGAAUCACAUGAAAAGAGGGAGGAAGAGCCGCUUUCCACCAAAGGAAACUGAAGUGCUAUUGUCAGAGGGGUUGCUGGGCAGACCAAAAAGAUGACAAUAUCUGCUCCAAUCGCUCGGGUUGUUGGUGCUUGGCAGAUUUGCCCCUACGUCACUUUUCAGAUGUGGAUAAGACUGAAGGUGACCACAGGCUUCCGAGAGGAAAGCUGCCAAUGGGGGUGUGAGAGGAGGGGGAAUUCUUACUCACCAAGGUUAACACUGUGCACACUGUUCUCCGAGGAAGUGGGAAUUUCCACAUGGUGAGUUCCCUUCCCUGUACAAUGAAUUACUAUCUUGAUGAGAAACCCGUGGGCAGCUGGUUGAGAAGAGAAAGGUAUUCUCUGAAUGAGAGGGAAUUUACCACCUUCCUUUCAAUGGUGACAGUUUUUUCUGGUGUCACCGCAGGGUGUGGAUUGAUUCAUAUACAAAUAUACAUAUCUACAUAGAUGCCAUUCUGCUAGCCUCUGCAAAAUGCAUGCCUGGAGACCAUUUCUGCUGCCUAGGAGAUGUCAACUUUGUCACCACCACUCUCUCUCCACCACUCCCACACCCUGCAGGGGCCAGGUGUGUGGGUGGGGAGCUCCCCAGCUGGAGGCCAGAUUAGAGGUCUCUGUGUGGUGGGGAUGGGGAGGAUGGGGUGGGAAUGAGGUGGUAGGCCACUGGCAGUGGUCCAAGUUCCAUCCAGGAUCUGUCCUAGGCCUCUCCCCAGGCUGUCGCUUCCACCAUUGAAUUUCUAACCUGGAUCUCUAAGGUUAUGAAUAUCUCAUUCCCGCAUCCUGGGGUGCUCAGACAUGUCUCCCCUGAGUCUCUAGCUGGGCUCGUGGCUGUGAUCAUUGUCCUCAGAGUUCCAUCCUCCCAACAAAGGGACAGAAGAAACACAGGGCCCACUUUUCUGGAUUCUGAGUUGGAGCCAAGAAAUUCUAUCUGCUGCUUCCUUCCUGUUGAAUUAUCCCCCAAGGACCCCUUAGUCCCUCCAGUCUCCUCCAGAGGCCUAUAGCUGCCCCAGCUCCCCAUGAUGGAUACCUGGCUCUUUCCUACCCAGAGGAAAACGCAGGCCCUUCCCCAGCCCUGCACUGAACUCCUGUGAGUGGCUGAGGAGAUGAGGAGGUGUGAAGAGUGAGUGUGUUGGGGAGGGAGGGGUCCCCUGCCACCAGGUACCAAGGACUUCUGCCAGAUCACCAGAACUGACACCUGGUUCCACCGGCCAGCUGUGAAGUGUCGGCCCUGACAUCAACAGCUGACCUCCCACAGGGCCUAAGGAAACGGAAUUGUGG
rnacentral:lncRNA from 10 species